rnacentral:rRNA from 1 species
GAUGAACGCUGGCGGCGUGCCUAAUACAUGCAAGUCGAGCGAACGGACGAGAAGCUUGCUUCUCUGAUGUUAGCGGCGGACGGGUGAGUAACACGUGGAUAACCUACCUAUAAGACUGGGAUAACUUCGGGAAACCGGAGCUAAUACCGGAUGAUAUUUUGAACCGCAUGGUUCAAAAGUGAAAGACGGUCUUGCUGUCACUUAUAGAUGGAUCCGCGCUGCAUUAGCUAGUUGGUAAGGUAAUGGCUUACCAAGGCAACGAUGCAUAGCCGACCUGAGAGGGUGAUCGGCCACACUGGAACUGAGACACGGUCCAGACUCCUACGGGAGGCAGCAGUAGGGAAUCUUCCGCAAUGGGCGAAAGCCUGACGGAGCAACGCCGCGUGAGUGAUGAAGGUCUUCGGAUCGUAAAACCCUGUUAUUAGGGAAGAACAUAUGUGUAAGUAACUGUGCACAUCUUGACGGUACCUAAUCAGAAAGCCACGGCUAACUACGUG